rnacentral:rRNA from 1 species
GACGAACGCUGGCGGCGUGCCUAAUACAUGCAAGUAGAACGCAGUUGCGACCGGGUGAGUAACGCGUAGGUAACUGCCUGGUAGCGGGGGGUAACUAUUGGAAACGAUAGCUAAUACCGCAUACUACCAGAUGGACCUGCGUUGUAUUAGCUAGUUGGUGAGGUAACGGCUCACCAAAGCAACGAUACAUAGCCGAACUGACAGGGUGAUAGGCCACACGUGAAAGUAGACAAGACCCAGACUCCGACAGGAGGCAGCAGUAGGGAGCCGUCAGCAAUGGGGGGAAAACUGACCGAGCAACGCCGCGUGGAUGAGGAAGGUUGUCGGAUCGUAAAGCGCUGUUGUGAAGGAAGCGGUACUUAAUCAGAAGGGGACGGCUAACUAAGAGCCAGCAGCCGCGGUAAUUC